ACAUCAGUGAGGUACAUCCUUACCUGUUGCUCUCUACAAGAGAGCUGCAGAACAUGAUGAAUGGGAAGGGAUGACUUAUUGAUUAGAUUAUCCCCUUCUCGAGGGCUGCAACUCCUUCGAGAAGCCAUUCUGAC